AACGAACGCUGGCGGCAUGCCUAACACAUGCAAGUCGAACGGGAUCCUAGCUUGCUAGGUGAGAGUGGCGGACGGGUGAGUAACACGUGGGAAUCUGCCUUUUGGUUCGGGAUAACCGCGGAAACUGCGGCUAAUACCGAAUGCCCUCGAGAGAGGAAAGAUUUAUCGCCAGAAGAGGAGCCCGCGUCCGAUUAGGUAGUUGGUGGGGUAAAGGCCUACCAAGCCGACGAUCGGUAGCUGGUCUGAGAGGAUGAUCAGCCACACUGGGACUGAGAUACGGCCCCAGACUCCUACGGGAGGCAGCAGUGGGGAAUAUUGGACAAUGGGGGGCAACCCUGAUCCAGCCAAUGCCGCGUGAGUGAUGAAGGCCUUAGGGUUAGUAAAGCUCUUUUGCCAGGAGAUGAUGACUGUACCUGGAGAA
rnacentral:rRNA from 1 species